rnacentral:rRNA from 1 species
AGGAUAAACGCUGGCGGCGUGCCUAACACAUGCAAGUCGAACGCGCUUUCGGGCUUCGGUGCGAGAGCGAGUGGCGGACGGGUGAGUAACACAUGGGUACCUACCUUGGAGUGAGGGAUACCGGCGAGAAAUCGCCGACAAUACCGCAUAGGCUUCUUCACAAGGGAAGCAAAGUGACGCGAGUCACGCUUUGAGAUGGGCCUGUGGCCGAUUAGCUAGUUGGGGGGGUAACGGCUUCCCAAGGCGACGAUCGGUAGCUGGUCUGAGAGGACGAUCAGCCACACUGGGAUUGAGAACGGCCCAGACUCCUACGGGGGGCAGCAGUGAGGAAUUUUCCGCAAUGGAGGCAACUCUGACGGAGCAACGCCGCGUGCAGGAGGAAGGUUUUCGGAUCGUAAACUGCUUUUCUCGGGGACGAGCAAGGACGGUACCCGAGGAAGAAGCCCCGGCUAACUACGUGCCAGCAGCCGC